rnacentral:rRNA from 1 species
UACGUAGGCAGCAAGCGUUGUUCGGAAUUACUGGGCGUAAAGGGUGUGCAGGCGGCUUGGUAAGUGUGGUGUGAAAUCUCCCGGCUUAACUGGGAGGGUGCGCUACAAACUGCCGGGCUAGAGUGUGGGAUGGGAGAGUGGAAUUCCUGGUGUAGCGGUGAAAUGCGUAGAUAUCAGGAGGAACACCGGUGGUGUAGACGGCUCUCUGGGUAGUAACUGACGCUGAGGAGCGAAAGCGUGGGUAGCGAACAGG